AACGAACGCUGGCGGCAUGCCUAACACAUGCAAGUCGAACGAGACCUUCGGGUUUAGUGGCGCACGGGUGCGUAACGCGUGGGAACCUGCCCUUAGGUUCGGAAUAACUCCCCGGAAGGCGUGCUAAUACCGGCUCAUGUAUUCGGUCCAAAGAUUUAUCGCCUUUGGAUGGGCUCGCGUGGGAUUAGCUAGUUGGUAGGGUAAAAGCCUACCAAGGCGACGAUGCAUAGCUGGUCUGAGAGGAUGAUCAGCCACACUGGGACUGAGACACGGCCCAGACUCCUACGGGAGGCAGCAGUGGGGAAUAUUGGACAAUGGGCGAAAGCCUGAUCCAGCAAUGCCGCGUGAGUGAUGAAGGCCUGAGGGUUGUAAAGCUCUUUUACCCGGGAUGAUAAUGACAGAACCGGGAGAAUAAGCUCCGGCUAACUCCGUG
rnacentral:rRNA from 1 species